rnacentral:lncRNA from 1 species
CUUCUACCUAGCUGAUGAGCAAAAAGUGUUUGUCAGUCUUAAGACAAUCUUUUUGGAAAAAAAAUUCCUUGGUGAAGGGACUGUUGCCUCUAAGAUCGAACUUGACGAAGUUCGAUAGGUGGAAAAAUCGACACAAGUUGCUGAACCUGAAUCAGAUUUAGUUAGAUCAGAUCCGGAGCCCAUUGUUCAAGCACCCUUAAGG